rnacentral:rRNA from 1 species
GAGCGCCGUAGCAAUACGUCAGCGGCAGUACGGGUGAGUAACGCGUGGGAACGUACCUUUUGGUUCGGAACAACCCAGGGAAACUUGUGCUAAUACCGGAUAAGCCCUUACGGGGAAAGAUUUAUCGCCGAAAGAUCGGCCCGCGUCUGAUUAGCUAGUUGGUGAGGUAAUGGCUCACCAAGGCGACGAUCAGUAGCUGGUCUGAGAGGAUGAUCAGCCACAUUGGGACUGAGACACGGCCCAAACUCCUACGGGAGGCAGCAGUGGGGAAUAUUGGACAAUGGGCGCAAGCCUGAUCCAGCCAUGCCGCGUGAGUGAUGAAGGCCCUAGGGUUGUAAAGCUCUUUUGUGCGGGAAGAUAAUGACGGUACCGCAAGAAUAAGCCCCGGCUAACUUCGUG